rnacentral:rRNA from 1 species
GAUGAACGCUAGCUACAGGCUUAACACAUGCAAGUCGAGGGGAAACGACAUCGAAAGCUUGCUUUUGAUGGGCGUCGACCGGCGCACGGGUGAGUAACGCGUAUCCAACCUGCCCAUCACUUGGGGAUAACCUUGCGAAAGUAAGACUAAUACCCAAUGAUAUCUCUAGAAGACAUCUGAAGGAGAUUAAAGAUUUAUCGGUGAUGGAUGGGGAUGCGUCUGAUUAGCUUGUUGGCGGGGUAACGGCCCACCAAGGCAACGAUCAGUAGGGGUUCUGAGAGGAAGGUCCCCCCACAUUGGAACUGAGACACGGUCCAAACUCCUACGGGAGGCAGCAGUGAGGAAUAUUGGUCAAUGGGGCGAGAGCCUGAACCAGCCAAGUAGCGUGCAGGACGACGGCCCUAUGGGUUGUAAACUGCUUUUAUAAGGGAUAAAGUGAGUCUCGUGAGGCUUUUGCAUGUACCUUAUGAAUAAGGA